UCUGACAUGGCAGAAUAAUGCAGUGAACUUAAGAUUCACACAUGAGAAACCUUUCUCUGUUAGAA
rnacentral:tRNA from 1 species